ACGACUACAUAUCAGGCAUAUCAAUAAGCGGAGGAAAAGAAACUAACAAGGAUUCCCUUAGUAACGGCGAGUGAAGCGGGAAGAGCUCAAAUUUGAAAUCUUCAAGGUUUUACCUUGACGAAUUGUAGUUUAAAGAAGUGUUUUCUGUUGAAGUUUUGGUAAAAGUUCUUUGGAAUAGGACAUCAUAGAGGGUGAGAAUCCCGUAUUUGACCAUUAUUUUCAGCUGUGUGAUACACUUUCAAAGAGUCGGAUUGUUUGGGAAUGCAGUCCAAAAUGGGUGGUAAAUUUCAUCUAAAGCUAAAUAUUGGCGAGAGACCGAUAGCGAACAAGUACCGUGAGGGAAAGAUGAAAAGAACUUUGAAAAGAGAGUUAAACAGUACGUGAAAUUGUCGAAAGGGAAGCGUUUGACACCAGUGUUGUUUUCUCGAAAAUCAAUUAAAAAAGUCUGGAUUUUGUGUUGUAUUGACCUUAAUCAGCUUGCUUCACUCUUUUCCAUUGUCUUUUUUAAUGCACUUUUCGUUUAACAAGUCAACAUCAGUUUCUUUUGUUGUAAAAGGGUCAUUGGAAGGUGGCUUUCUCUUCGGAGAAAGUGUUUAUAGCCUUUGGCCUCUGCAAUCGGAGAGAUUGAGGUCUGCAGCGUAGAUCCUUCGGGGUUAGAUACAUUUGUGCUAAGUUAUAGCCUUUCAUAGACAACUUGUUGACUAUGAUCAGUCAUGUAGCUUACUCGCUUAUGCUAUUUUACCUACGCUUAGGAUGUUGAGCGCAUGUCUCUCUCU
rnacentral:rRNA from 1 species